GACGAACGCUGGCGGCGUGCUUAACACAUGCAAGUCGAACGAAGAGCGACGGAAGCUUGCUUCUAUCAAUCUUAGUGGCGAACGGGUGAGUAACGCGUAAUCAACCUGCCCUUCAGAGGGGGACAACAGUUGGAAACGACUGCUAAUACCGCAUACGAUCUAACCUCGGCAUCGAGGAUAGAUGAAAGGUGGCCUCUACAUGUAAGCUAUCACUGAAGGAGGGGAUUGCGUCUGAUUAGCUAGUUGGAGGGGUAACGGCCCACCAAGGCGAUGAUCAGUAGCCGGUCUGAGAGGAUGAACGGCCACAUUGGGACGGAGACACGGCCCAGACUCCUACGGGAGGCAGCAGUGGGGAAUCUUCCGCAAUGGACGAAAGUCUGACGGAGCAACGCCGCGUGAGUGAUGACGGCCUUCGGGUUGUAAAGCUCUGUUAAUCGGGACGAAAGGCCUUCUUUCGAAUAGUGAGAAGGAUUGACGGUACCGGAAUAGAAAGCCACGGCUAACUACGUG
rnacentral:rRNA from 1 species